rnacentral:rRNA from 1 species
CUACGGGAUGCAGCAGUGGGGAAUAUUGGACAAUGGGGGAAACCCUGAUCCAGCAAUGCCGCGUGUGUGAAGAAGGCCCGCGGGUUGUAAAGCACUUUCGGUUGGGAGGACUGCUUCUAGCACUAAUAUUGUUGGAAGUUGACGUUACCUUCAGAAGAAGCACCGGCUAACUCCGUGCCAGCAGCCGCGGUAAUACGGGGGGUGCAUGCGUUAAUCGGAAUUACUGGGCGUAAAGCGCGCGUAGGCGGCUAGAUCAGUCGGGUGUGAAAGCCCCGGGCUUAACCUGGGAACUGCAUCCGAUACUGUCUAGCUUGAGUACAGGAGAGGAGAGUGGAAUUCCACAUGUAGCGGUGAAAUGCGUAGAUAUGUGGAGGAACACCAAUGGCGAAGGCAGCUCUCUGGCCUGAUACUGACGCUGAGGUGCGAAAGCGUGGGGAGCAAACAGGAUUAGAUACCCCGGUAGUC